rnacentral:rRNA from 1 species
AGUUUGAUCCUGGCUCAGAUUGAACGCUGGCGGCAUGCCUUACACAUGCAAGUCGAACGGUAACAGGUCUUCGGAUGCUGACGAGUGGCGAACGGGUGAGUAAUACAUCGGAACGUGCCCGAUCGUGGGGGAUAACGCAGCGAAAGCUGUGCUAAUACCGCAUACGAUCUACGGAUGAAAGCGGGGGAUCGCAAGACCUCGCGCGGACGGAGCGGCCGAUGGCAGAUUAGGUAGUUGGUGGGAUAAAAGCUUACCAAGCCGACGAUCUGUAGCUGGUCUGAGAGGACGACCAGCCACACUGGGACUGAGACACGGCCCAGACUCCUACGGGAGGCAGCAGUGGGGAAUUUUGGACAAUGGGGGAAACCCUGAUCCAGCCAUGCCGCGUGCAGGAUGAAGGCCUUCGGGUUGUAAACUGCUUUUGUACGGAACGAAAAGGUCCUUUCUAAUAAAGAGGGCUCAUGACGGUACCGUAAGAAUAAGCACCGGCUAACUACGUGCCAGCAGCCGCGGUAAUACGUAGGGUGCGAGCGUUAAUCGGAAUUACUGGGCGUAAAGCGUGCGCAGGCGGUUAUAUAAGACAGAUGUGAAAUCCCCGGGCUCAACCUGNGAACUGCAUUAGUGACUGUAUAGCUGGAGUGCGGCAGAGGGGGAUGGAAUUCCGCGUG